ensembl:lncRNA
GCUUGCGCGUGUCCGUUGUCGCCCUCACCAGCUGCUGCGGCGGAGAACGGAGGCCAGCGCGGGGAGCGGAAGCCGGAGCCUGUCGGGAGCGACCCCGGGAAGGCCAGUCCCUCCUGCCGGAGGGAGGCGUGUUGGCGUGCGGCCGGUGGCGGGAUCGAUGGCCACCUGGUAGGCGAUGCUGCUGCGGCGGAGAAACGGAGGCCAGCGCGGGGAGCGGAAGCCGGAGCCUGUCGGGAGCGACCCCGGGAAGGCCAGUCCCUCCUGCCGGAGGGAGGCGUGUUGGCGUGCGGCCGGUGGCGGGAUCGAUGGCCACCUGGUAGGCGAUGCUGCUGCGGCGGAGAAACGGAGGCCAGCGCGGGGAGCGGAAGCCGGAGCCUGUCGGGAGCGACCCCGGGAAGGCCAGUCCCUCCUGCCGGUGGGAGGCGUGUUGGCGUGCGGCCGGUGGCGGGAUCGAUGGCCACCUGGUAGGCGAUGCUGCUGCGGCGGAGAGACGGAGGCCAGCGCGGGGAGCGGAAGCCGGAGCCUGUCGGGAGCGACCCCGGGAAGGCCAGUCCCUCCUGCCGGUGGGAGGCGUGUUGGCGUGCGGCCGGUGGCGGGAUCGAUGGCCACCUGGUAGGCGAUGGUAAGCGGCAGUGGCCUGCGCCAAGGUAGCCCCCGGGGGGCGGUGUGUGGCGCCCGGACCCGCACCCUCUGCUCCCGGGGGUGGAGCUGACCUGCUUGCCCGCGGUUGGGCUCGGGAGCCUGCGGGCCGCGGCCAGGAGGGAGCUGGCUGGCCGUCCCGGCGGUGGGGGCUGUGGCGGUGGCCGUCCCGCGGGUGUGCCCGUGCUCGGAUCGAUGAUGACACCCACAAACGCAUUCCUUGGAAAAUCUGAACAAAAUGAGUGAGAACUCACUACCGUCUCCUCAUCGCAAACUGAGGUCCGGCACGUGGCUCCCACAGGGGACGUCGGGGGAGGGUCCCGUUGCCUUGGCUCCCUUGGGUGCGUGCAGCCCUGGGGCGCAGGUGGGGGCAGGCAGGCCUCCGGUGGCCCCGGAGGGCCAUGGGGAGAGGAGCCUUGGGGCUGGCCUCCUCGAGGGCAGCCCCGGGGCCCCGGGGCCCCGGUGCCCGGCGGAAAGCCUUGGGAGUGGCAGGCCCAGUGUGGGGUGGGCUGCCUGCGGUGUGUGUGAGCGCCGCUGGCUCAGGCCUGCGGCUGCCUCCUUGAGGCCUCCGCGGGGUCCUGCCCGCGGUGUCGGGCGCAGAGGGUGGCUGUAGGUUGCGGGUGAGCAGCGGGGGCCUUGGCCUCGGCGGGACUGCCGACCCAGGUUCUGGUGGGAGAGAGGAGGCC